rnacentral:rRNA from 1 species
AAUGCAAUUCCUACAACAUUAGUGCACUAGAUCCCAUUAGAACUUUGUAGGUAAGUGCACUUUGCAUAGAGUAGUACUAGGAUGGGUGAUUUCUUGAGAAGUCCUAGCGUUUUAAAUU